rnacentral:rRNA from 1 species
UACGGGGCGCUGCAGGCGCGAAACCUCUGCAAUAGGCGAAAGCUUGACAGGGUUACUCUGAGUGAUUUCCGUUAAGGAGAUCUUUUGGCACCUCUAAAAAUGGUGCAGAAUAAGGGGUGGGCAAGUCUGGUGUCAGCCGCCGCGGUAAUACCAGCACCCCGAGUGGUCGGGACGUUUAUUGGGCCUAAAGCAUCCGUAGCCGGUUCUACAAGUCUUCCGUUAAAUCCACCUGCUUAACAGAUGGGCUGCGGAAGAUACUAUAGAGCUAGGAGGCGGGAGAGGCAAGCGGUACUCGAUGGGUAGGGGUAAAAUCCGUUGAUCCAUUGAAGACCACCAGUGGCGAAGGCGGCUUGCCAGAACGCGCUCGACGGUGAGGGAUGAAAGCUGGGGGAGCAAACCGGAUUAGAUACCCGGGUAGUCCCAGCUGUAAACGAUGCAGACUCGGUGAUGAGUUGGCUUAUUGCUAACUCAGUGCCGCAGGGAAGCCGUUAAGUUUGCCGCCUGGGGAGUACGGUCGCAAGACUGAAACUUAAAGGAA